rnacentral:rRNA from 1 species
CCUACGGGAGGCUGCAGUGGGGGAUAUUGCACAAUGGAGGAAACUCUGAUGCAGCGACGCCGCGUGAGGGAAGACGGUCUUCGGAUUGUAAACCUCUGUCUGUGGGGAAGAAAAUGACGGUACCCAAAGAGGAAGCUCCGGCUAACUACGUGCCAGCAGCCGCGGUAAUACGUAGGGAGCGAGCGUUGUCCGGAAUUACUGGGUGUAAAGGGAGCGUAGGCGGGCGAGAAAGUUGAAUGUUAAAUCUACGGGCUUAACUGGUAGCUGCGUUCAAAACUUCUUGUCUUGAGUGCAGUAGAGGCAGUCGGAAUUCCUAGUGUAGCGGUGAACUGCGUAGAUAUUAGGAGGAACACCAGUGGCGACGGCGGCCUGCUGGGCUUUAACUGCCGCUGAGGCUCGACAGCGUGGGGAGCAAACAGGAUUAGAUACCCGUGUAGUC